rnacentral:piRNA from 1 species
UAUUGUAUUAUAUUUUGCCGAAAUAGA